rnacentral:rRNA from 2 species
CCCAACUGAUUGAUGGUGCUUGCACCUGAUUGACGAUGGAUCACCAGUGAGUGGCGGACGGGUGAGUAACACGUAGGUAACCUGCCCCGGAGCGGGGAAUAACAUUUGGAAACAGAUGCUAAUACCGCAUAACAACAAAAGCCGCAUGGCUUUUGUUUAAAAGAUGGCUUUGGCUAUCACUCUGGGAUGGACCUGCGGUGCAUUAUGCUAGUUGGUAAGGUAACGGCUUACCCAAGGCGAUGAUGCAUAGCCGAGUUGAGAGACUGAUCGGCCACAAUGGGAACUGAGACACGGUCCAUACUCCUACGGGAGGCAGCAGUAGGGAAUCUUCCACAAUGGGCGCAAGCUGAUGGAGCAACACCGCGUGAGUGAAAAAGGGUUUCGGCCGCAAAGCUCUGUUGUUGGAGAAGAACGUGCGUGAGAGUAACUGUUACGCAGUGACGGUAUCCAACCAGAAAGUCACGGCUAACUACGUGCCAGCAGCCGCGGUAAUACGUAGGUGGCAAGCGUUAUCCGGAUUUAUUGGGCGUAAAGCGAGCGCAGGCGGUUGCUUAGGUCUGAUGUGAAAGCCUUCGGCUUAACCGAAGAAGUGCAUCGGAAACCGGGCGACUUGAGUGCAGAAGAGGACAGUGGAACUCCAUGUGUAGCGGUGGAAUGCGUAGAUAUAUGGAAGAACACCAGUGGCGAAAGCGGCUGUCUGGUCUGCAACUGACGCUGAGCUCGAAAGCAUGGGUAGCGAACAGGAUUAGAUACCCUGGUAGUCCAUGCCGUAAACGAUGAGUGCUAGGUGUUGGAGGGUUUCCGCCCUUCAGUGCCUGUUCUAACGCAUUAAU